AUUGAACGCUGGCGGAAUGCUUUACACAUGCAAGUCGAACGGUAGAGGGGGCAACCCCUCGAGAGUGGCGAACGGGUGAGUAAUAUAUCGGAACGUGCCCAGUCGUGGGGGAUAACGUAGCGAAAGUUGCGCUAAUACCGCAUACGAUCUAAGGAUGAAAGCGGGGGAUCGCAAGACCUCGCGCGAUUGGAGCGGCCGAUAUCAGAUUAGGUAGUUGGUGGGGUAAAGGCUCAACAAGCCAACGAUCUGUAGCUGGUCUGAGAGGACGACCAGCCAAACUGGAACUGAGACACGGUCCAGACUCCUACGGGAGGCAGCAGUGGGGAAUUUUGGACAAUGGACGCAAGUCUGAUCCAGCCAUUCCGCGUGCAGGAUGAAGGCCCUCGGGUUGUAAACUGCUUUUGUACGGAACGAAAAGGUCUCUCUUAAUACGGGGGACUCAUGACGGUACCGUAAGAAUAAGCACCGGCUAACUACGUGCCAGCAGCCGCCGCCGUAA
rnacentral:rRNA from 1 species